UACGUAGGGUGCGAGCGUUGUCCGGAAUUAUUGGGCGUAAAGGGCUCGUAGGCGGUCUGUUACGUCGGGAGUGAAAACUCAGGGCUUAACCCUGAGCCUGCUUCCGAUACGGGCAGACUAGAGGUAUGCAGGGGAGAACGGAAUUCCUGGUGUAGCGGUGAAAUGCGCAGAUAUCAGGAGGAACACCGGUGGCGAAGGCGGUUCUCUGGGCAUUACCUGACGCUGAGGAGCGAAAGCGUGGGGAGCAAACAGG
rnacentral:rRNA from 1 species